UGGGGAAUAUUGGACAAUGGGCGAAAGCCUGAUCCAGCAAUACCGCGUGUGUGAAGAAGGCCUGAGGGUUGUAAAGCACUUUCAAUAGGAAGGAAUACCUGUCGGCUAAUACCCGGCAGACUGACAUUACCUAUACAAGAAGCACCGGCUAACUCCGUGCCAGCAGCCGCGGUAAUACGGAGGGUGCAAGCGUUAAUCGGAAUUACUGGGCGUAAAGCGUGCGUAGGCGGUUAUUUAAGUCAGAUGUGAAAGCCCCGGGCUUAACCUGGGAACUGCAUUUGAUACUGGCUAACUAGAGUUUAAGAGAGGGGAGUGGAAUUUCAGGUGUAGCGGUGAAAUGCGUAGAGAUCUGAAGGAACACCAGUGGCGAAGGCGACUCCCUGGCUUAAAACUGACGCUGAGGUACGAAAGCGUGGGUAGCAAACA
rnacentral:rRNA from 1 species